GCAUGUCUUGCUGCGGAAGCAGAGGCCGGGAGUGGAAUUCUUUGGGGGAGGAGUGUAAUUCCUGAGCUUUAGACUCAUACAGACCAUUCUCUCGACACGGACUUACAUGUUAGUCAUUUAGCAGCUGCUCUUAUCCAGAGUGACUUAAGUGUGUUCAGCUAAGCCUGUCAGUCAGCAGCAGCUGUAGGGUCUGUCAAGGUGUCCGCUGACGGCCCUGUGUCUGAGGCAGCCGCAGCCUCUGCAUCAAAAAGACAGUGUGUGUGCCAAAGAGAAAGAGAGAGCCAGGCUGCCUGCUUAUCAGAGGAUCUCUGGGCAGAAAGAAACGAUGAUAUUAGACUGGCUGCACAAGGAGAGGGUGCUCCUGUCCCGCUGACGAGUGGCAAGGGGAGGUUGUGUGUGCGUGUGUGUGUGUGUGUGUGUGUG
rnacentral:lncRNA from 1 species